rnacentral:tmRNA from 4 species
GGGGAUGUAUCGUUUCGACAGGAUCGCACUUUAAAAACUGCAAGCCGAAUACGAUUCUAAAGUGCGUCAAACUUUGAAUCAAAUUGCGUGCAAAGAACAAACUUGCACAACUGGUUGGUGCCAUUAUUGGUAUCAGGCAGCCAGCUCUAGCAUUUGCUGCAUAAGCAAAGCUUUUUGAGCUUGUCUUGUUGGCCUUUUCUCGGUGAGGUUUUCAAGGCACAAACUUAGCCGGGAGUAGUCCGCCCAUUUGAUCAAAUGGGCGAGAUGAAACUUUUGAUCUUUGUCCAGUUUCUGCUUGUUAAUCGGCAAAGAGAUUGGACGAGACAUUAAAGAUUAACUAAGCUUGUAGAUGUUUUUAACUUUCGAUCUUGGACCCGGGUUCACAGCCCGGCAUCUCCACAC